UUUAAGAAGCCCGAAAACGAAAGUUACACCAAUCAAACCAACUUGAACUCACGACAGCCAGGAAACAAACUGGGAUUAGAUACCCCACUAUGCCUGGCCGUAAACUUUAACUUACACUUAUGAUCGCCCGGGAACUACGANCCAAGCUUAAAACCCAAAGGACUUGACGGUACCCCAAAUCCACCUAGAGGAGCCUGUCCUAUAAUCGAUAACCCCCGUUUAACUUCACCAUUCCUUGUCUAUCAGCCUGUAUACCUCCGUCNNNNGCUUACCGCGUGAGCNCCAUUAAGUGAGCUUAAUGCCCAUACGCCAACACGUCAGGUCAAGGUGCAGCUAAUGAAAUGGGAAGAGAUGGGCUACACUUUCUACUAUAGAAAAAACGAAAGACUACCUAUGAAAUCUAGUCAGAAGGAGGAUUUAGUAGUAAAAAGAAAACAGAGUGUUCUUUUUAAUCCGGCACUGGGGUGUGUACACACCGCCCGUCACCCUCUUCAAGGCCCAAUCAAAGUACAUAACCAAACUUUGCCACAUAGAAGAGGCAAGUCGUAACAUGGUAAGUAUACCGGAAGGUGUGCUUGGAAA
rnacentral:rRNA from 1 species